ACCUGGCGAUCAGGACCCAGCCAGCCACCUAGAUGCCAUAAGACACAUGUGCACCAGAAGAUGGGAGAAGAAACAAAGCUCAAAAAUCAGACCCUGCAAUAGCAUGAGAAUGAGGCAUUCCCCAUGAUAAGUGGACAAAGAAUCCAGGAAGAAAAAAUCCUGGCCUAACUUACAUUUUGCUGGCACCAGUUAGAAUGAAAUUCUGCCACAUGACAGUUCUAUCAGGACUGAAGAGGAUGCUAAAGAGAAAUCGGGUGGUGAUGUAAAGAAGAAAAAAAAGGAAGGUUGAUAUUCUCGUCUUACAAAGUUAAGUGAAGAGCAAAGAGACACUAUUUCUGGUGAAUGGAUAUUGCAAUAAAAUCAUGUUACUGUAAAUAACAAAGGUAAAGAAUUAGGACACACGCAGAGGGAAGACCAUGUGAAGAUACAGAAAGAGGACGGUGUCUAUGAGCCCAGGAGAAAGGGCUCCGAAGAAUUCAACCCUGCCAAAACCUUGAUCUUGUACUUAUAGCUUCCAGAAUUGAGAAAAUAUUAAUAACUUCCUGUUGUUUAAGCCACUACAGCUGUGAUAUUUCAUUAUGGCAACCUUAGCAGACUAAUAUACUAAUAGAAAAGUAUGCAGAUGAGUGUUGAUGGGGGCUUUGGCUUGUGGUUGAGGCCAGAAGUAACGAGAAGAGAUUGGUCUGGGGAAAGGUUUCUAAGGUCAAGCCAGCUGAUCUUGU